UUGAAAAGUUAAGCGAGAAAUGAUAAAACCAAAUCUACUCCGUGAAAAGUUCUCGUCAUUUCUACGCCUGGCAGCGGUAGUCGAGUAUUUUCUCAAUCUGCUCGGAAUCCAUCCGGCGGAAGUAUGGCAGCGCUGGAAACGAAAAUGAACCCUCCUGGAUAUCUUCUAUGGAACUGGGAAAGAGGCGAAGGUUGGGUUACCUUCCCGCAAAUAAAUACAACCAAUCGCUCAAGAAAAGCAGUCCACCCAGUCUGAAUCCCCGAUCGCUACUUUUCCAUCGCUUUCCGGAGAUUGUUUGUGUAUUCAUCAAGAACAUUUUCACCAUAGUUAGUUCCGGAUAAUGGUCAAACGGCUAUCGGUGGUAUCGAAUUUUUUUCAGAGCCAAGGGAAUUUUCGACUACGGUCAAACCAAACUUACGGUUUAUCGUCUUGCUUGAUGAUUGAACCAAGGAUUGGCGCAGAAUGGGAGAAUCUGCUGGAUCAAUGGAUAAAAGACCGGAUCACCGUCUUCGACCAGAGGUCGCACAGACUGAACACUUUGGAGAAGGCGGUAACAUCUAGCAUUAGACAACGGACAAGACUUUCACACCACCCAGUGGACCAGUGGAGAACUUUUCGCUUUACGAAAAGUUUUCACCUUACCGGGGCAGUAAUCGAACCCACACUCCACAGCACAUGUGCUUAGACGAUUGACGUCGCUAACCGCACGGCCACGAAGUCCACGAGU